rnacentral:rRNA from 1 species
GUGGAUUAGUGGCGAACGGGUGAGUAACACGUGGGCAAUCUGCCCUUCACUCUGGGACAAGCCCUGGAAACGGGGUCUAAUACCGGAUAACACUCUGUCCCGCAUGGGACGGGGUUGAAAGCUCCGGCGGUGAAGGAUGAGCCCGCGGCCUAUCAGCUUGUUGGUGGGGUGAUGGCCUACCAAGGCGACGACGGGUAGCCGGCCUGAGAGGGCGACCGGCCACACUGGGACUGAGACACGGCCCAGACUCCUACGGGAGGCAGCAGUGGGGAAUAUUGCACAAUGGGCGAAAGCCUGAUGCAGCGACGCCGCGUGAGGGAUGACGGCCUUCGGGUUGUAAACCUCUUUCAGCAGGGAAGAAGCGAGAGUGACGGUACCUGCAGAAGAAGCGCCGGCUAACUACGUGCCAGCAGCCGCGGUAAUACGUAGGGCGCAAGCGUUGUCCGGAAUUAUUGGGCGUAAAGAGCUCGUAGGCGGCUUGUUGCGUCGGUUGUGAAAGCCCGGGGCUUAACCCCGGGUCUGCAGUCGAUACGGGCAGGCUAGAGUGUGGUAGGGGAGAUCGGAAUUCCUGGUGUAGCGGUGAAAUGCGCAGAUAUCAGGAGGAACACCGGUGGCGAAGGCGGAUCUCUGGGCCAUUACUGACGCUGAGGAGCGAAAGCGUGGGGAGCGAACAGGAUUAGAUAC